CGUGAUGUUUUGCACCUUUUAAGCAGAGCAAGAUGGCUCUCUCCGAUACAGGGGAGGUGUUGGAAUGCGCCGUGGCUUUGGUCACCCGGACUUUCAAACGAAGGCUAGCUUUGCAUCAGAUCCCACAAGGCGGUCUGAAAAGGGGCUGGAAGGAAAAUGAGCUGGGUGGAAUGGAGAUAUCGCUCAGCCUCUAACUGCUUCUAAAUUGAGAUAUGGAAGCAACUUGCAAGAUAUGGAAGCAACUUGCAAGGCCGCCAUAGUAUGAACCCGGACCAAGCUGAGACUGCCAACUGGAGGACCGAGGAUACAGAACUACUAUAAUCGGCGAAUCCGAAAAGCAAAAUUCUGCGACCACUUAGCAACGUCCUUUCCCGCAGUGAGCAGCGGCGCGCACUUUGCAGCGCAAACAAGCAAACGCAUUUCUUUACUCAGAAGUAUGGAGCGGGGCGGAGCCACAGUCCGGAGCGUUUUCCCGCUUAGGUCCAAUGUUGUCGCGUUACUGGGCAGCAGCAGAGGAAGACGCACCUUUGCUGCUGCUGCUGCUGCACGCCUCGCUCAGCCCGCUCCACCCGUGCAGCAAGGUGAGGUGUUGAGUGGCCUUGUAAGUGGUUAAAACUAAUACAUCAGAGUGUACUUCUGAUUCGUUUUCUAAGUGCUGGGAGUUAACAGUGUUACCUGGAUCCGUGACAUUUGUAUUACUGCACCCCCUCUUUCAGGUUGACUGAGAAGCUGUGAAAGUUGGAUCCAGAGCUUUGACACACUAGAAAUAGCACGUUUUCAUGCAAAGCAAAAUGUGGACAACCCACGAGGGUGAAACUACAAUAAGCAGACCAUGUGAAUCCACUUGUUUCCCAUAAAACCUUUUAAGCAACAUGA